rnacentral:pre_miRNA from 1 species
CGGGCUUCCAUCUCUUUCCCAGCCUACAUCUCAACCUGGGCUGGCAAGAAAUGGCAGUCUACA